rnacentral:rRNA from 1 species
UACGGAGGGGGCUAGCGUUGUUCGGAAUUACUGGGCGUAAAGCGCACGUAGGCGGCUUUGUAAGUUAGAGGUGAAAGCCCGGGGCUCAACCCCGGAAUUGCCUUUAAGACUGCAUCGCUAGAAUUGUGGAGAGGUAAGUGGAAUUCCGAGUGUAGAGGUGAAAUUCGUAGAUAUUCGGAAGAACACCAGUGGCGAAGGCGACUUACUGGACGAUUGUUGACGCUGAGGUGCGAAAGCGUGGGGAGCAAACAGG